GACGAACGCUGGCGGCGUGCUUAACACAUGCAAGUCGAACGGAAAGGCCCUGCUUUUGUGGGGUGCUCGAGUGGCGAACGGGUGAGUAACACGUGAGUAACCUGCCCUUGACUUUGGGAUAACUUCAGGAAACUGGGGCUAAUACCGGAUAGGAGCUCCUGCUGCAUGGUGGGGGUUGGAAAGUUUCGGCGGUUGGGGAUGGACUCGCGGCUUAUCAGCUUGUUGGUGGGGUAGUGGCUUACCAAGGCUUUGACGGGUAGCCGGCCUGGGGGGGUGACCGGCACCAUUGGGACUGAGUUACGGCCCAGACUCCUACGGGAGGCAGCAGUGGGGAAUAUUGCCCAAUGGGCGGAAGCCUGAUGCAGCAACGCCGCGUGCGGGAUGACGGCCUUCGGGUUGUAACCCGCUUUCGCCUGUGACGAAGCGUGAGUGACGGUAAUGGGUAAAGAAGCACCGGCUAACUACGUG
rnacentral:rRNA from 1 species